rnacentral:rRNA from 1 species
AGACGUAGGGGGCAAGCGUUGUCCGGAAUUACUGGGUGUAAAGGGCGUGUAGGCGGGAAUGUAAGUCAGAUGUGAAAUACCGUGGCUUAACCACGGGGCUGCAUCUGAAACUAUGUUUCUUGAGUGUCGGAGAGGAAAGUGGAAUUCCCAGUGUAGCGGUGAAAUGCGUAGAUAUUGGGAGGAACACCAGUGGCGAAGGCGACUUACUGGUCCAUUACUGACGCUGAGGUGCGAAAGCGUGGGGAGC